rnacentral:rRNA from 1 species
CAGCAGCCGCGGGAAUACGAAGGGUGCAAGCGUUAAUCGGAAUUACUGGGCGUAAAGCGUGCGUAGGCGGUGAGUUAAGUCUGCUGUGAAAUCCCCGGGCUCAACCUGGGAAUGGCAGUGGAUACUGGCUCGCUAGAGUGUGUCAGAGGAUGGUGGAAUUCCCGGUGUAGCAGUGAAAUGCGUAGAUAUCGUGAGGAAGACCAGUGGCGAAGGCGAUUCUCUGGGCAGUUCCUGACACUGAGGCACGAAGGCCAGGGGAGCAAACGGGAUUAGAUACCCCCGUAGUCCCUGUCUCUUAUAC